UGGAGAUGAAUCCCCUACCUUCUUCCCAGGUAGCAUUGGAUCCCAAGGUGAGAAAGCAGAGGCCCCAGGCUUCCCAGGAGAAGAGUGGAUUUGUUGCUGCCCGCCCAGAGCCCUGGUUGAGAAGCUGUGACUCAGACGCUGACUCCAGGGUCGUAUUCCCAACCUCAAAUGGCUCUAAACGGAGAUGGUGGGAGCCAAACAGGCCACUGUAAGGGGAAGGUGAUACAUAAAAGUUGCUGUGACCACUUCCAGCCUGCACGGUUAGAGACUUCUGUUCUGGACAAGCCCUUCUCUAUUUAAAUAGACAAUCCAUCCUCAAGUUUUCCACUGAGAGAAAGAGAGCGAGAUCAACUUCAUGUUCAUGAUGUAUUCUUCUGGGGGUUAAAUAGUUAAGAAGUCAAUCAUUGCUACAGGUGGAAGAAUGCUUAGGAAGAGAAUGGCAAGAACAGUAGCACAGAGACUACUGGAACUUUAGACUGUGUUCUUUUGAGCCACACAGGAUCCUUCCUAGGCCACACCAGAAGGGUUUCAUGUGGAAACCCCACUAAGUGAAUUGGGCUUUACCUCAAACUCACUUAUAGCAGAUUUAUGAAAUUGACAUAUUCCCUUGGAUUUAGGCUGGAGCGCCCGAGUGUGAGAAGCAGCAGCUGACUGCUGUCCCAAAGGUAUGGAAUUGGCAGUCACUGGGCUUGGUUCAGAUGCCAUGCUUUAAGGGCACCCAAUGAAUGGCUGCCUGAGACUACCAUAUAGUUACUAUUUUAAUGCCCUCCUUGCUUUCUGAUGACAUGUAUUAAUCUUGUAGACAUGGUUCUGCCUUUGUUAAUGAGUGUUAUUGAAUAUUUUGCCCUAUCGCCAACCCCCAUUAUUUGUGUAAAUGGUGUUCAGUUACUUAAGGGUUUAAUCUGUGCAAAUCAACAAUUCAUGUGCUGUACUCUGAAGCCAGCCUAUACUU